CCCUUGUUAGCUCAGUCGGUAGAGCAUGAGACUCCUAAUCUCGGGGUUGUGGACCGGAGCCCCACAUUGGGCA